rnacentral:misc_RNA from 1 species
UACAGAGGCCCCAAGCAUUACCCGGAAUCACUGGGCGUAAAGGGUGCGUAGGCGGUCAUGUUAGUCUUCUGUUAAAGCCUUGGGCUCAACCCAAGAAUCGCAGAGGAAACGGCAUGACUCGAGGAUGUGAGAGGUGUACGGAACUCAUGGUGUAGGGGUGAAAUCCGUUGAUAUCAUGGGGAACACCGAAAGCGAAGGCAGUACACUGGCACAUUUCUGACGCUGAGGCACGAAAGCGUGGGUAGCGAACGGG